rnacentral:rRNA from 1 species
UGGGGAAUUUUGGACAAUGGGGGCAACCCUGAUCCAGCCAUGCCGCGUGAGUGAAGAAGGCCUUCGGGUUGUAAAGCUCUUUCGGCGGGGACGAAACGGUCCGUGACAACACCACGGACUAAUGACGGUACUCGCAGAAGAAGCACCGGCUAACUACGUGCCAGCAGCCGCGGUAAUACGUAGGGUGCAGGCGUUAAUCGGAAUUACUGGGCGUAAAGCGUGCGCAGGCGGCUCCUUAAGUCAGAUGUGAAAUCCCCGGGCUUAACCUGGGAACUGCGUUUGAAACUGGGGAGCUAGAGUGUGGAAGAGGGGGGUGGAAUUCCAGGUGUAGCAGUGAAAUGCGUAGAGAUCUGGAGGAACACCGAUGGCGAAGGCAGCCCCCUGGGCUAACACUGACGCUCAUGCACGAAAGCGUGGGGAGCAAACAGGAUUAGAUACCCCAGUAGUCCCUGAGCGGGCUGG